rnacentral:rRNA from 1 species
AUUGAACGCUGGCGGCAGGCCUAACACAUGCAAGUCGAGCGGAUGAAGGGAGCUUGCUCCUGGAUUCAGCGGCGGACGGGUGAGUAAUGCCUAGGAAUCUGCCUGGUAGUGGGGAUAACGUCCGGAAACGGGCGCUAAUACCGCAUACGUCCUGAGGGAGAAAGUGGGGGACCUUCGGACCUCACGCUAUCAGAUGAGCCUAGGUCGGAUUAGCUAGUUGGUGGGGUAAAGGCCUACCAAGGCGACGAUCCGUAACUGGUCUGAGAGGAUGAUCAGUCACACUGGAACUGAGACACGGUCCAGACUCCUACGGGAGGCAGCAGUGGGGAAUAUUGGACAAUGGGCGAAAGCCUGAUCCAGCCAUGCCGCGUGUGUGAAGAAGGUCUUCGGAUUGUAAAGCACUUUAAGUUGGGAGGAAGGGCAGUAAGUUAAUACCUUGCUGUUUUGACGUUACCAACAGAAUAAGCACCGGCUAACUUCGUG